UGAAUACGAGAUGCUACGGCGUCGAAGCAGUCUAUGUCAUACUUCCAAGAAAAGCUUGCACUAUCAUAAACAAAUAAUGCCUGUACCAUAACCGACACAGGUGGGUAGGUAGAGUAUACUAAGGGGCGCGAGAUAACUCUCUCUAAGGAACUCGGCAAAAUGACUCCGUAACUUCGGGAGAAGGAGUGCCUUAUUUUAUAAGGUUGCAAUAACAAGAUCCAAGCAACUGUUUACCAAAAACACAGGUCUCCGCUAAGUCGUAAGACGAUGUAUGGGGGCUGACGCCUGCCCAGUGCCAGAAGGUUAAAGAAGUUGGUUAGCAUCCGCGAAGCUGAUAACUGAAGCCCUGGUGAACGGCGGCCGUAACUAUAACGGUCCUAAGGUAGCGAAAUUCCUUGUCGGGUAAGUUCCGACCCGCACGAAAGGCGUAAUGAUUUGGAUACUGUCUCAGAGAGGGGCUCGGUGAAAUAGACUUGUCUGUGAAGAUGCGGACUACCUGCACCAGGACAGAAAGACCCUAUGAAGCUUUACUGUAACUUGAAAUUGAAAUUGGACUUUACUUGCGCAGUAUAGGUGGGAGGCGUUGAUAAUAUUCUUGCGGGAAUAUUGGAGCCAUCAGUGAGGUACCACUCUUGUAAUGUUAGAUUUCUAACUUUGUAUCAUUAUCUGGUCAAAGGACAGUUUCAGGCGGGCAGUUUGACUGGGGCGGUCGCCUCCCAAACGGUAACGGGGGCGCACAAAGGUUUCCUCUGAACGGGUAGAAAUCGUAUCUAGAGUGUAAAGGCAUAAGGAAGCUUGACUGUGAGACCUACAAGUCGAGCAGGGACGAAAGUCGGUCUUAGUGAUCUGACGGUGCUGAGUGGAAAGGCCGUCACUCAACGGAUAAAAGUUACUCUAGGAUAACAGGCUGAUCUCCCCCAAGAGUUCACAUCGACGGGGAGGUUUGGCACCUCGAUGUCGGCUCAUCGCAUCCUGGGGCGGUAGUACGUCCCAAGGGUUGGGCUGUUCGCCCAUGAAAGCGGUACGCGAGCUGGGUUCAGAACGUCGUGAGACAGUUCGGUCCAUAUCCGGUGUAGGCGUUAGAAUAUUGAGAGGAGCCUUCUUUAGUACGAGAGGACCGAGAAGGACAUACCUCUGGUGUACCAGUUAUCGUGCCAACGGUAAACGCUGGGUAGCUAUGUAUGGAGUGGAUAACCGCUGAAAGCAUCUAAGUGGGAAGCCCACCUCAAGAUAAG
rnacentral:rRNA from 1 species